GGGGGGCUGGCGCAACGGUAGCGCGUCAGAUUCCAGUCCUGAAGGUUACCGGUUCAAAUCCGGUGUCCCUCA
rnacentral:tRNA from 4 species